rnacentral:rRNA from 1 species
GACGAACGCUGGCGGCGUGCUUAACACAUGCAAGUCGAACGGAAAGGCCCUGCUUUUGGGGGUUGUUCGGUUGCCAAAGGGGGGGUUACCCCUUUGUUACCCGGCCUUUGCUUUUGGGUUACCUUCUGAAACCUGGGGCUAUACCCGUAUGGGGCCUCCUCUUCCCUGUGGGGGUUUGGAAAGUUCCGGCGGUUGGGGUUGGACUCGCGGCUUUUACGCUUGUUGGUGGGGUAGGGGCUUACCAAGGCUUUGACGGGAUCCAGGCCUGCGAGGGUGACCGGCCAAAUUGGGACUGAGAUACGGCCCAGACUCCUCCGGGAGGCAGCAGUGGGGAAUAUUGCACAAUGGGCGGAAGCCUGAUGCAGCAACGCCGCGUGCGGGAUGACGGCCUUCGGGUUGUAAACCGCUUUCGCCUGUGACGAAGCGUGAGUGACGGUAAUGGGUAAAGAAGCACCGGCUAACUACGUG